GGCGGACGGGUGAGUAACGCGUGGGUAACCUGCCUCAUACAGGGGGAUAACGGUUAGAAAUGACUGCUAACACCGCAUAAUAUAGCGAAACCGCAUGAUUUUGCUAUCAAAUAUUUAUAGGUAUGAGAUGGGGCCCGCGUCUGAUUAGCUAGUUGGUGGGGUAAAAGCCCACCAAGGCGACGAUCAGUAGCCGGCUUGAGAGAGUGACCGGCCACAUUGGGACUGAGGACACGGCCCAAACUCCUACGGGAGGCAGCAGUGGGGAAUAUUGGACAAUGGGGGAAACCCUGAUCCAGCCGACGCCGCGUGAGUGAAGAAGUUAUUUCGGUAUGUAAAGCUCUAUCAGCAGGGAAGAUAAUGACAGUACCUGACUAAGAAGCCCCGGCUAACUACGUGCCAGCCGCGGC
rnacentral:rRNA from 1 species